AAGCUCCUGUGAUGUUCGUGGGGCAGUUUUGGUUUUCAUCCACGCAAGACCUACGGGAAUCCGUGUCCGUCUGCGGAUGCCAUGCCUCGGCGUUGUGGACGGUUGAAACCGGCGGUAGGAUACCCACCUUGGAGAUGGGGAUGCAAAACCGAUUGUCCCACGGCAGAACGGGGUUACA
rfam:Alicyclobacillus acidocaldarius subsp. acidocaldarius DSM 446, complete genome.